UGAAACACAAUGUGAAGUGAAUUAUAUUUAUAUAGCGCUUUUCUCUAGUGACUCAAAGAGCUUUACAUAGUGAAACCCAAUAUCAAAGUUCCAUUUAAAGCAGUGUGGGUGGCACUGGGAGCAGGUGGGUAAAGUGUCUUGCCCAAGGACACAACAGCAGUGACUAGGAUGGCGGAAACGGGGAUCGAACCUGGGACCCUCAAGUUGCUGGCACGGCCACUCUACCAACCGAGCUAAACCGCCUGUCUCUCUUCACUUUCUAUAAACUACUUGGACAUCACUAACUCUCACAAUCGGUGAUAAGCUAAUGUGUAGUUUGUAAUAUUUACAAUUAAUUAGUUAAUUAAUUAAUCAAUAAUUUAUGUUAGCUACCUCUCUUUGUUUAUAAUGUAUAUUUUCUGCUGGAUCUACUCUUUAUGUUAUGCUGCGGCUGUCACAUAUACUGUAAUAGUGUACAUGGUUAUUGGGAUUUGUUUUAUAUUGUAUAUAUUAUCUAAUAAUAUACUGUGGCCCUGCCAUGAGGUGGCGACUUGUCCAGGGUGUAUGCCGCCUUCCGCCCAAUUGUAGCUGAGAUAGGCACCAGCACCCCCCGCCCCCUUAAAGCGGUAGAAAAUGGAUUGAUGGAUAAUAUACUGUAUAUAUAAAAUGUAAAUAUUACAUGUGUGUGAAGAGGCGCAGCCGGCACGCUGGAGCCCUGCCCAAGAUGGCGGCAAGGAGGCGGAGAAUGCGGCUGAGCGGAGGGGCGGGGCGUGCCGGAAGCGACGCUACGAGCGAGAUCAGGGGCGAAGGAGGAGAAAAGGGCAGAAGGAGUUGGAGAGCCUGCAGCAGUGGAUGAGGAGCGAAAGCAACAAACAGCAGACAAGGACGACGACGACGACUGAAAAGCAGACCGGGAACGAGCAGUGGAGGAAGGAGCUUAAAAGCGAUCCGAACUGCAGCCAAGUGUUAUUGCAAAAUAAAGAAGUCAAACCUGCUCAAGCGAUCAUGUCCUUCCUGAGUGGUCCAUGGAACCCGAGCGACAGGGAAAGUCGUUCACAAUGUGUUAUAUUGGUAAUACGGUACAUUUUUAGUCUUCUUUACACCUUUUGUUUUCGCCCACUUUUUGUGCCCCUUGUGCGCAUUAUCCUUUCCAUCCUUUGUAACUGAGCUACUGUGUGGAACAAUUUCCCUUGUGGAUCAAUAAAGUUUGUCUAAGUCUAAGUCUAAAUAGCGAGUAACAUCUUUUUAUAAAAAAGGUGAACAGUUGCCUUUGUAGUAGACAAUUUCUGUCCUAGAGUUACCUCUAAAUUUAAUGCAUUGGGAAGGACACAACAUAAGAUGCAAUCUGUUAAUAUAAGUUGUGAUGCUACAAAUCAGACCAUCAUGGAGUGUAUGAAUAAGAAGGGAAGACCAAGCCUGGUUUGCGCUCUUAUUAAUUCCUUUCACGAGGGUUCACCAUCUUUCGUCUCAUGAGACACUGUCUGUAAUCAUAUCGAUUCAAUCCAACUUUGUACCAUCUGAUUAUGAGUAAAUAAACUCCUGUAACAAAUUC